UACGUAUGGUGCAAGCGUUAUCCGGAUUUACUGGGUGUAAAGGGAGCGCAGGCGGCACGGCAAGCCUGAUGUGAAAGCCCGCGGCCCAACCGCGGGACUGCAUUGGGAACUACCGGGCUGGAGUGCCGGAGAGGUAGGCGGAAUUCCUAGUGUAGCGGUGAAGUGCGUAGAUAUUAGGAGGAACACCAGUGGCGAAGGCGGCCUACUAGACGGUGACUGACGCUGAGGCUCGAAAGCGUGGGGAGCAAACAGG
rnacentral:rRNA from 1 species